UACAGAGGGUGCAAGCGUUGCUCGGAAUCAUUGGGCGUAAAGGGUGCGUAGGCGGGUCUUUAAGUCAGGGGUGAAAUCCUGGAGCUCAACUCCAGAACUGCCUUUGAUACUGAAGAUCUUGAGUUCGGGAGAGGUGAGUGGAACUGCGAGUGUAGAGGUGAAAUUCGUAGAUAUUCGGAAGAACACCAGUGGCGAAGGCGGCUCACUGGCCCGGUACUAACGCUGAGGUGCGAAAGCGUGGGGAGCAAACAGG
rnacentral:rRNA from 1 species